UGGCAAAAAAUAAUUAGGCCAUGAAAUAAGAGCAUAUUCUUUUGAAUAAGAUUUGCUUUUAUUUGGUAGUUAAUUUUCGCAUUGAAUAAGCCAGUGAUAUCCAUUGUAAAUAAGUUCCAACUCCAGGAUUUAUUUCACAAAAUGGCUGCAAAAAUGUAUAUAUAGAUAUGCAAAAGCGAAUUUUUUU
rnacentral:sRNA from 1 species